GAAAUAAUAAACACAGCUAGUACAUUCAUAGUUCCCUGGUUACACCAUAGGAAUGAAAACUUGCUAAUUAAUUUACAUACUAGGAAAUUAUUUCGGGGGGGGGGGGAACCACACCCCAUUGCACCUGCUCCAUAGAGAUUUGUCAUCUGAAUCUAGAGAACAGCCAUAAAUCAUGUAAAGUGGUUGCCUUAGAUUAUGCUUGUGAGAGCUAUGGAAUUAUGAAUCCAAGUGCUGAAUUUAAAUUUGCCACUAGGAAAAGACAGACACCAUUUAAACUCAGGUUAGAUCCAAAGUACCUCAUUUCAUUUAAAGCUAAGCUGCAGUUAUUUAUUGUAAUUCUGAAGAGAGCACUCUUGUCUUGUUCUGAUACAAAUACAGGUGAGGAUUUCUUGCAUAGGAUGCUUCAGAAAGUUGUUUGCUCGCCCCCAGUUCUGUCAACCAGCUCCUCAAGAGGGGAAUCGCCUAUUAUUGAACUAAUUUU
rnacentral:lncRNA from 1 species